CAAACGACUCUCGGCAACGGAUAUCUCGGCUCACGCAUCGAUGAAGAACGYAGCAAAAUGCGAUACUUGGUGUGAAUUGCAGAAUCCCGUGAACCAUCGAGUUUUUGAACGCAAGUUGCGCCCGAAGCCAUUCGGCCGAGGGCACGUCUGCCUGGGCGUCACGC
rnacentral:rRNA from 1 species